UUGGAGGGCAAGUCUGGUGCCAGCAGCCGCGGUAAUUCCAGCUCCAAUAGCGUAUAUUAAAGUUGUUGCAGUUAAAAAGCUCGUAGUUGAAUUUCGGGAUCAAUACGUCGGUCGUGCCUCUGGUAUGAACUGGUGUUAUUGAUUCCUCCUUUCUGAUAAACCAUGAUGUCAUUAAUUUGGUGUUGUGGGGAGUCAGGACUGUUACUUUGAAAAAAUUAGAGUGUUUAAAGCAGGCCUACGCUUGAAUACAUUAGCAUGGAAUAAUGAAAUAGGACGUUCGAACCUAUUUUGUUGGUUUCUAGGAUCAACGUAAUGAUUAAUAGGGAUAGUUGGGGGCAUUAGUAUUCAAUUGUCAGAGGUGAAAUUCUUGGAUUUAUUGAAGACUAACUACUGCGAAAGCAUUUGCCAAGGAUGUUUUCAUUAAUCAAGAACGAAAGUUAGGGGAUCGAAGACGAUCAGAUACCGUCGUAGUCUUAACCAUAAACUAUGCCGACUAGGGAUCGGAUGAUGUUAAUUUUUUAAUGACUCAUUCGGCGCCUUACGGGAAAC
rnacentral:rRNA from 1 species